CCACACAAAUACCACGGUAACAGGCUGCUGUCGUACGGAGGAAGACUCUCCUACACGCUGGCCUUCUUCGCUCUGGACGGCGUGGGUCUGGCCAAUCACGAGCCUCAGGUGCUGAUGAGGGGCGGACACCUGCGCAAGCUGGUCAUCUACACCGAGCUUCCCGCGCCUGAGAACGGCGUCCGCACCGGACAGGAGCUUCCUCUGACCGAGCACAAGUGGAAGUAUUUCAACUCCGUGUCUGAUGAAGCCGUGAGUUACACUGACUUCAUGUCAG